GUUUCCCUUGCAAAAGAGGAUCCGGGUAAAUGAUAAAGUGCUUGCGCGGCCAGAGCGUUCGUUGCAAUGGAAGUGCGCACGCGCAGACGACAAAGCACGCGCAGCACGCUCCCGCCUACGUUCUGGUAAGCCCCGCCCCCAACAGCGGAGCCAACCAGAGGACUCGGGGCAGUCCCAGCCUCCGACGGCAGCCCGAGACAGUCGCCCGGGCGUUCAGAGGCUGAGCGAGGCAGGUCCCUCGACGCUCUCGGGCUCGAUUGGCCAGCCUCCCACGGCGGUAACGGUCGCAGACGCGGGGCCGGAGGCGGCUGAGCCGGACAAGCUGGGCUCGCUGCUGGAGGGAGGCGGCGGCUGAGGAAGAUGAAGAUCCAGUUUCAGACGUGAGACUCACUGGGUGAUCAUUUCGUUGAGAUCAACUUGAAUGACCAGGUGAAAAGUGCAAGAGGAAUGUGCUAUGACUGAGUGCUAUAAGAUCAUAUAACAAGAGGACCUCAUCUAGUCAUGGGACCAGGGGAGAUUUCCCUGAAGAAGGAAAUUUGAGUCAAGAUCUGAAAAUCAGGCAAGUUACAGUUUUUUAUUGCCAAUCCCUACUUCUUUUGACUCUACAAAAGAAACUGUAUCUACAGCAGCCCCUAAAGCCCAGGAAUCCAGCAAAUCAUCAGACAGACUCAUGACUGAAAAACAGCAGGAAGAAGCAGAAUGGGAAAACAUAAAUGUGCUGUUGAUGGUGCAUGGCUUAAAACCUUUAUCUCUAGUCAAAAGAACAGAUCUGAAAGAUCUCAUCAUUUUUGAUAAACAGUCAUCACAAAGGAUGAGGGAGAAUUUAAAAACUUUGGUGGAAGAAACAUCACGUCAACAGAACAUGAUCCGGGAGCUCAUAGAAACUAAUAAACAGCUUAAAAAUGAACUUCAGAUAGAAAAAAGCCGAGCAGCAGAUCAGGAACAACGAGCUAAUGACUUGGAACAAAUUAUGGAGAGUGUGAAAUCCAAAAUUGGUGAAAUGGAGGAUGAAUCCCUAAGUAGGGUUUGCCAACAACAGAAUAAAAUAAAAGAACUUCAAAAGGAGCAAAAAGCUUUACAGGCAAAAUGUCAGCAUUAUAAGAAAAAACGGAUGGAGCAACAAGAGACUAUUGCUUCUUUGCAAAAGGAUAUCUAUAGAUUAACGAAGGAGGAAGAGGAGCGCAUUGCCACUCAAAACAGAGUGUUUUCUUAUCUCUGCAAAAGAGUUCCUCAUACCGUCUUGGAUAGACAGUUGCUUUGUCUAAUUGAUUACUAUGAAUCUAAAAUUAGGAAAUUUCAAAAACAAAGGCAAUAUAAAGAAGAUGAAAGUCAGUCAGAAGACGACUUCAGAAGUCUGAGUGCUUCACCUACUUAUAAAGGCCUUCUAAUGUCAUUACAGAAUCAACUUAAGGAAUCAAAAUCUAAGAUAGAUGUACUUUUAAGUGAAAAGCUGAAUCUCCAAAAAGAUUUGGAAAGCAGGCCUACACAGCAUGAAUUAAGACUUUAUAAACAACAGGUGAAGAAGCUGGAGAAAGCCCUUAAGAAAAACAUCAAAUUACAAGAUCUUAUCAGUCAAAAAAAGGCUGAUGACAAAAAGGAAAAAGAUGAACCCAGCGAAGAUAACCAGCAGCAGGCCCUAACUGACCAGAGAUACUUUCAGGUAUUGAGUAGCAUCAAUUCAAUUAUUCAUAAUCCAAGAGCUCCAGUAAUAAUUUAUAAACAGAGCAAAGGAGGAGCCCAACAUUUUAAUAAAGAUCUUGUUCAAGAUUGUGGAUUUGAGCAUCUUGUUCCUAUAAUAGAAAUGUGGGCAGAUCAACUGAUUUCCUUAAAGGAUUUGUAUAAGUCCUUGAAACUACUCUCUGCCGAACUGGUGCCUUGGCAUAAUUUAAAGAAGCAGGAUGAAAAUGAAGGUAUCAAAGUUGAAGAUCUGUUGUUUAUAGUAGAUACCAUGUUAGAAGAAGUUGAAAAUAAGGAAAAGGACAGUAAUAUGCCAAAUGUUCAAAUUUUGCAAGCUAUUGUUUCUCACUUCCAAAAAUUAUUUGAUGUGCCUUCUUUAACUGGAGUCUAUCCCCGAAUGAAUGAAGUUUAUACUAGGCUUGGAGAAAUGAACAAUGCUGUGAGAAACCUCCAGGAACUCUUAGAACUAGAUAGUUCAUCCUCAUUAUGUGUGCUGGUGAGCACAGUUGGAAAAUUGUGUAGGCUGAUUAAUGAAGAUGUGAAUGAACAGGUUAUGCAGGUAUUAGGACCUGAAGACCUCCAAAGCAUUAUCAACAAAUUGGAAGAACAUGAGGAGUUUUUCCCAGCAUUUCAGGCAUUUACUAAUGAUCUACUUGAAAUCUUAGAAAUUGAUGACUUGGAUGCCAUUGUACCUGCAAAUGUAACACAUAUGCUCAAUGUGGUAAAAACCAUAAAUGUCAAGUGUAAUGAAUGAUAAUAAAGUGGACACCCAUGCAACAACCAAAAAUUAGAACAUUGCCAGCACUCCAGCAGCCUCUCCCACACACCAUAUGUGCCUUCUCUCAAGAGGUUUUCUGGAAUCAAUAUCCAAGAAGUAAAAUUGCUGUGUCCUAGAGGAAAACACGUCUGUAUACAGUCACAGAGGCUGUGUCCUGAACAAGUGGAGGUGGUACCAUUUCUAUAGAUAAAGGAUGUGAAGGGAACCUCUGGGGAUUUAUAAUGUGGCAACUUUGACAAACAAUAUGUAUUUCAACUUUAGAAGACAAUGCCAAACUUUUUUCCAGAGUGAUUUACCAGUUUAUACUCCCACCAUUAAUAUAUGAGAGUUCCCAAUUGUCUACAUCCUGACCAGUUUUUGGUAAGUCAGAUUUUUAAAUUUUUUGCAGUGUAGUGUAUUAGUGUGGCUUUAAUGUUUAUUUCCCUGAUUA